AUGUCCUCGCGGCUGCGGCUGCUCUCGCUCCUGCGGAGCGGCCGCCUCGCCCUCGCCCCCGCCCCGGCAGAUCGCCUCGCCGGCGCGCCGCCUUCAAGGGGCCUCCGCCUACCCGCUGCGGCGGCCGCUGCUGCCUCCUCCUCAGGUUCUGAAUCUAAUGAUGGUAACUUCAGUUACUUUUCCAAUCGACGGCUGGGUUUCAAGUUUGGCGCUAUACUGAUUGGACAAGCAGCUUUUUUUCUUAGCCUGAGCGACGGCUCUGUAUUGGCUCAGGAUGACUCAGUUGCUCCAGCAGCUACAAUGAGUAAGCAAGCUGAUGCUAUUGUUACUGGUCUACGUCGGAUUGAAGAUGGUUCAGUGAUCUCAAAUGAACACACGAUCAAAUGGAGAAUCUUCACGGAUAAAGCAAAAGCUUUUUUCAUAAAAGGAAAACUAGAUGAAGCUGAAAGGUUCUUCAAGGCAGCCCUACAUCAAGCUAAAGAAGGAUUUGGACUGAGAGAUCCACAUGCUGCAUCGGCACUAAAAAACUUGGCGGAGUUUUAUGUGUUAAGAAAAGAGUUUGAGAAAGCUGAACCGUUAUUUCUGGAAGCAAUUGAAAUCUUGGAGCAAUCAUUUGGACCUGAUGAUAUACGGGUUGGAAGAGCUUUGCGUAAUCUUGGACAACACUAUCAUAUUCAGAACAGGUUUGAUCAAGCUCAGACAUGUUAUGAGCGUGCUUUGAAGAUACAAGGAAGUGUUGUGGGGCCUGGUCACCCAGAUUAUGCAAAUACAAUGUACCUUCUAGCCAGGGUGCUAAGUCAACAAAGAAAAAGAAAAGAUGCAGAAGCUCUUUUCCGAGAAUCCAUUAGGAUACUUGAGGAAGCUGGACUUGGCGAAUCCCCUGCUUGCUUACAAAGAAUGAUGUUUCACUCUACGGAGCUGAUGAAUCUGAAACAACUGGAUGAAGCUGAAAAUUUGCGAAGGAAGAUAUUACGUAUUAUGGAGCUUUCGAAGGGAUGGGAUUCGUUGGGUACUACAGCCGCAGCCGUACAAUUAAGUGUCACUCUUGUAACCCUAGGGAAGCUGAGGGAAUCAGAAGAAUUAUUGCAAAGAUGCCUUGCAGUCAGAAAAAGGAUUCUAUCUGAAGACCAUAUUCAGGUAGCAAGUAUAUUGGUACACUUGGCAAGGCUAAGUUUGCUUAGAAUUAUUAGUGAUAUCAAAGUGAACAAUGACCUAUGUAGAUCUCACCUUGUGAGGGGAAAAAGACUUGUCAAUGAUUCGAUAAGGAUAGCGGAAAAAAUACUGAAUCCUUUGAGGGAAGAUCAGAAAAAACCGAAGAAUGCCUUUCCUAUCGAAUUGGAGCGGAUUGCGGCAACAGGAAUACUUUUGGAAGCACUUGAAAUUGUUGGACUUCUUGACUCUGGAAGAAUGGCAAUACAAGCAUGGGCACCAGCGAACUCGGUACUCUUGCUAAGGCUUCCUCGGGAACAUAUGAAGCAUGGAUACUUCAAGAUUGAUGUUGUGCGCAUACCAGACAAAUGCUGGCUAUUCAUAUGGCCAGCAAAAUAUCGCAUAAGUCUUCGAUAUACCACGUUACGAAUCCAUUUUAAUAAAUUUGAGAAGUUUGAUUAUGAACAUUUUGAACAAGCUCUGCGCAGGUGGGUUUCACUUUACAAUGAGCCUCGUACACGAAACAUAGUGUCCAACGCCCUCAGGCCGCACUACAUGAAAUGCUGGAGGACCCUCGUCGGUGCUGCUCGGCACGCUCCUUUCAUGGAUGCACCACAUUUGCAAGAUUUGCUGGCUGAGUCGCAGCAAAUAAUGAAGGAAUUGGGAGGAGAGAACAAUAUGAUGACGGGCAGUGUGGAUUUUGGUGAUUCAGAGGAAUAA
rnacentral:rRNA from 1 species